rnacentral:rRNA from 1 species
UGGGGAAUCUUCCGCAAUGGACGAAAGUGAAAGUCAGGACGGAGCAACGCCGCGUGAGUGAUGACGGCCUUCGGGUUGUAAAGCUCUGUUAAUCGGGACGAAAGGCCUUCUUGCGAAUAGUGAGAAGGAUUGACGGUACCGAGAAAGAAGGCCACGGCUAACUACGUGCCAGCAGCCGCGGUAAUACGUAGGUGGCAAGCGUUGUCCGGAAUUAUUGGGCGUAAAGCGCGCGCAGGCGGAUAGGUCAUUCUGUCUUAAAACUUCGGGGCUUAACCCCGUGAUGGGAUGGAAACUGCCAAUCUAGAGUAUCGGAGAGGAAAGUGGAAUUCCUAGUGUAGCGGUGAAAUGCGUAGAUAUUAGGAAGAACACCAGUGGCGAAGGCGACUUUCUGGACGAAAACUGACGCUGAGGCGCGAAAGCCAGGGGAGCGAACGGGAUUAGAUACCCCGGUAGUCCUGGCCGUAAACGAUGGGUACUAGGUGUAGGAGGUAUCGACCCCUUCAGUGCCGGAGUUAACGCAAUAAGUACCCCGCCUGGGGAGUACGACCGCAAGGUUG